rnacentral:lncRNA from 1 species
GCAAUCUCUCUUUGGGAGUUGGAUUACUCUCACUGGCUCAUCAGGAGGUUCUGCAAAAACUUUAUUUUUUACAAUAGCCAUCUUUGAUAUUAUAAACAGAUAGAAGUUGAUCACUCCUCAUCUUUGUAGACUUGUGACAAAGACUCAUGUAUUCAUCUCCCAAUACCUUUAUGAUUAUCUUCAUUAAUUCUUUUACUGUACUAUUUCCUCUCACUUCAGUAUAAAAUCA